rnacentral:rRNA from 1 species
GACGGAAGGUGCAAGCGUUGCUCGGAAUCACUGGGCGUAAAGGGUGCGUAGGCGGCUGUGCAAGUCUGGCGUGAAAGCCCCGGGCUCAGCCCGGGAAGUGCGCUCGAAACUGCACGGCUCGAGUGCCGGAGGGGAGAGUGGAAUUCCUGGUGUAGCGGUGAAAUGCGUAGAUAUCAGGAGGAAUACCGGUGGCGAAAGCGACUCUCCGGACGGCAACUGACGCUGAGGCACGAAAGCGUGGGGAGCAAACAGG